rnacentral:rRNA from 1 species
UCCAGACUCCUACGGGAGGCAGCAGUGGGGAAUAUUGCACAAUGGGGGGAACCCUGAUGCAGCGACGCCGCGUGAGUGAAGAAGUAUUUCGGUAUGUAAAGCUCUAUCAGCAGGAACGAGACAAGACGGUACCUGACUAAGAAGCCCCGGCUAACUACGUGCCAGCAGCCGCGGUAAUACGUAGGGGGCAAGCGUUAUCCGGAAUCACUGGGUGUAAAGGGAGCGUAGACGGCCAUGCAAGUCAGGGGUGAAAGCCCGGGGCCCAACCCCGGGACUGCCCUUGGAACUGUGCGGCUAGAGUGCGGGAGGGGCAGGCGGAAUUCCUGGUGUAGCGGUGAAAUGCGUAGAUAUCAGGAGGAACACCGGCGGCGAAGGCGGCCUGCUGGACCGCGACUGACGUUGAGGCUCGAAAGCGUGGGGAGCGAACAGGAUUAGAUACCCCAGUACA